UCCACUCCACAUCACAGCCUUCAGGCAGGGUGCCAGGCAGAGCGGGAGCUGUGUCCUCCUCCCCGGGAGCUGGAUGCGUAUGGGCUUCUCAGACACGCAGGAACGUCCCUACUCUGUACCUGACCAAGACUUCAGCAAGAAGGGACCAGUGCCGCGAGUCUCUUCCAGGUUUUACCCUGUGCCCAGCUCUUGCUGGGGGAAGAUUGUGGUGGCUGAGACUGCAAUUCACUCCCAGGCACGAGACAUUAAGCUGGGAGUUGUGGAACCUACUGUGUCGUGAGGGGCUUUGGAAGGUGGAUAGAAAGGAGGCUGGAAAGAGAGGGGAUUCUUGGAUCUAGAAGGUGAUGCAGUGAGAGACCUGACGAUGAUGAUUCCCAGCCUUUGGGAU